rnacentral:rRNA from 1 species
UACGGAGGGUGCAAGCGUUGUUCGGAAUUAUUGGGCGUAAAGGGCUCGUAGGCGGGCUCAUAUGUCGAUUGUGAAAGCCCCAGGCUCAACCUGGGAAUUGCAGUCGAAACUGUGAGUCUUGAAUACCUGAGAGGGUGGGAGAAUUCCUGGUGGAGUAGUGAAAUACGUAGAGAUCAGGAGGAAUACCAGAGGCGAAGGCGCCUGCCUGGCAGUGUAUUGACGCUGAGGAGCGAAAGCGUGGGGAGCAAACAGG